AAAUAAGAAACAAUUAUUGUAAUUAGUUUCGACCUAAUCCUUUGAUGAUAAAAUCAUCCUUAUUUU
rnacentral:tRNA from 1 species